AUUGAACGCUGGCGGCAUGCCUUACACAUGCAAGUCGAACGGCAGCACGGGAGCAAUCCUGGUGGCGAGUGGCGAACGGGUGAGUAAAGUAUCGGAACGUGCCCAGUCGUGGGGGAUAACGUAGCGAAAGUUACGCUAAUACCGCAUACGAUCUAUGGAUGAAAGCGGGGGAUCGCAAGACCUCGCGCGAUUGGAGCGGCCGAUAUCAGAUCAGGUAGUUGGUGGGGUAAAGGCUCACCAAGCCGACGAUCUGUAGCUGGUCUGAGAGGACGACCAGCCACACUGGGACUGAGACACGGCUCAGACUCCUACGGGAGGCAGCAGUGGGGAAUUUUGGAAAAUGGGCGAAAGCCUGAUCCAGCCAUGCCGCGUGCAGGAUGAAGGCCUUCGGGUUGUAAACUGCUUUUGUACGGAACGAAAAGGUUUGGGCUAAUAAGCUGAGCUCAUGACGGUACCGUAAGAAUAAGCACCGGCUAACUACGUGCCAGCAGCCGCCGUAA
rnacentral:rRNA from 1 species